AAUAAGUACAGUCAUAGAUAUCCGUGUCCAAUGUUUGACCGUCCGUCUUAUUUAAAAAAUUUAAAAAUAUUUAGUCGCACAUAAAGUACUAUUCAUGUUUUAUCAUCUAAUAGUAAUAAAAAUACUAAUCAUAAAAAGUUUUCAAAUAAGACGAACGGUCAAACGUUAAACGUGAAUAGUGCAAAACAACACUUAUU
rnacentral:pre_miRNA from 1 species